rnacentral:rRNA from 1 species
CUGGCUCAGGAUGAACGCUAGCGGCAGGCUUAACACAUGCAAGUCGAGGGGCAGCGGGGAGGAAGCUUGCUUUCUCCGCCGGCGACCGGCGCACGGGUGAGUAACACGUAUGCAACCUGCCCCUGUCAGGGGGACAACCCGCCGAAAGGCGGGCUAAACCCGCGUACAUGCCACCGGGGCAUCCCGGAGGCAGGAAAGGCUUCGGCCGGACAGGGAUGGGCAUGCGGCGCAUUAGGCAGUAGGCGGGGUAACGGCCCACCUAACCGACGAUGCGUAGGGGUUCUGAGAGGAAGGUCCCCCACACUGGUACUGAGACACGGACCAGACUCCUACGGGAGGCAGCAGUGAGGAAUAUUGGUCAAUGGUCGGGAGACUGAACCAGCCAAGCCGCGUGAGGGAUGAAGGUACAGAGUAUCGUAAACCUCUUUUGUCAGGGAACAAAGGCGGGGACGUGUCCCCGGAUGAGUGUACCUGAAGAAAAAGCAUCGGCUAACUCCGUGCCAGCAGCCGCGGUAAUACGGAGGAUGCGAGCGUUAUCCGGAUUUAUCGGGUUUAAAGGGUGCGCAGGCGGUCUGUUAAGUCAGCGGUCAAAGCCCGGGGCUCAACCCCGGCCCGCCGUUGAAACUGGCAGUCUCGAGUUGGAGAGAAGUAUGCGGAAUGCGCGGUGUAGCGGUGAAAUGCAUAGAUAUCGCGCAGAACUCCGAUUGCGAAGGCAGCAUGCCGGCUCCACACUGACGCUGAGGCACGAAAGCGUGGGUAUCGAACAGGAUUAGAUACCCUGGUAGUCCACGCAGUAAACGAUGAAUGCUGGCUGUCCGGGGGGACUGACCCCUGGGUGGCGAAGCGAAAGCGAUAAGCAUUCCACCUGGGGAGUACGCCGGCAACGGUGAAACUCAAAGGAAUUGACGGGGGCCCGCACAAGCGGAGGAACAUGUGGUUUAAUUUGAUGAUACGCGAGGAACCUUACCCGGGCUCAAACGGGGAGUGACUCAGGCAGAGACGCCUGUUUUCCACGGGACACUCCCCGAGGUGCUGCAUGGUUGUCGUCAGCUCGUGCCGUGAGGUGUCGGCUUAAGUGCCAUAACGAGCGCAACCCCCGCGUGCAGUUGCUAACAGUCAACGCUGAGGACUCUGCACGGACUGCCGGCGCAAGCCGCGAGGAAGGCGGGGAUGACGUCAAAUCAGCACGGCCCUUACGUCCGGGGCGACACACGUGUUACAAUGGGUGGUACAGCGGGAAGCCAGGCGGCGACGCCGAGCGGAACCCGAAAUCCACUCUCAGUUCGGAUCGGAGUCUGCAACCCGACUCCGUGAAGCUGGAUUCGCUAGUAAUCGCGCAUCAGCCAUGGCGCGGUGAAUACGUUCCCGGGUCUUGUACACACCGCCCGUCAAGCCAUGGGAGCCGAGGGCGCUUGAAGUGCGUCGCCGCGAGGCGCGCCCUAGAGCGAAAUCGGUGACUGGGGAUAAGUCGUAACAAGGUA